UCGGGGCGUGGCUCAGCCUGGUAGAGCGCUGCGUUCGGGACGCAGAGGUCGCAAGUUCAAAUCUUGUCGCCCCGAU
rnacentral:tRNA from 2 species